rnacentral:misc_RNA from 1 species
UUAAUGUAUUAUUACGUACAUUUCAGACAGAUAACAUGGUAAUGCAAGAGUUUGCUGUGUUUACCUCCCGUGGAGGCUCCCAUCGUCGCCCCGUGAGGGGCCACGCUGAGGUGGAAUUAACCACUGCUCCACGGAAGCAACAGGAUAUGGUACUCGGAAUGGGUUUAUGAUGUACAUUCAGAUGAAUAUGCAUUAUAACUUUUAAUGAUCCUUCCGCAGGUUCACCUACGGAAA